GGUUAAGCGACUAAGCGUACACGGUGGAUGCCCUGGCAGUCAGAGGCGAUGAAGGACGUGCUAAUCUGCGAUAAGCGCCGGUAAGGUGAUAUGAACCGUUAUAACCGGCGAUUUCCGAAUGGGGAAACCCAGUGUGACUCGUCACACUAUCAUUAACUGAAUCCAUAGGUUAAUGAGGCGAACCGGGGGAACUGAAACAUCUAAGUACCCCGAGGAAAAGAAAUCAACCGAGAUUCCCCCAGUAGCGGCGAGCGAACGGGGAGGAGCCCAGAGCCUGAAUCAGCAUGUGUGUUAGUGGAAGCGUCUGGAAAGGCGCGCGAUACAGGGUGACAGCCCCGUACACAAAAGCGCAUGUGCUGUGAGCUCGAUGAGUAGGGCGGGACACGUGGUAUCCUGUCUGAAUAUGGGGGGACCAUCCUCCAAGGCUAAAUACUCCUGACUGACCGAUAGUGAACCAGUACCGUGAGGGAAAGGCGAAAAGAACCCCGGCGAGGGGAGUGAAAAAGAACCUGAAACCGUGUACGUACAAGCAGUGGGAGCACCCUUUGGGGUGUGACUGCGUACCUUUUGUAUAAUGGGUCAGCGACUUAUAUUCUGUAGCAAGGUUAACCGAAUAGGGGAGCCGCAGGGAAACCGAGUCUUAAUUGGGCGUUAAGUUGCAGGGUAUAGACCCGAAACCCGGUGAUCUAGCCAUGGGCAGGUUGAAGGUUGGGUAACACUAACUGGAGGACCGAACCGACUAAUGUUGAAAAAUUAGCGGAUGACCUGUGGCUGGGGGUGAAAGGCCAAUCAAACCGGGAGAUAGCUGGUUCUCCCCGAAAGCUAUUUAGGUAGCGCCUCGUGAAUUCAUCUCCGGGGGUAGAGCACUGUUUCGGCUAGGGGGCCAUCCCGGCUUACCAACCCGAUGCAAACUGCGAAUACCGGAGAAUGUUAUCACGGGAGACACACGGCGGGUGCUAACGUCCGUCGUGAAGAGGGAAACAACCCAGACCGCCAGCUAAGGUCCCAAAGUCAUGGUUAAGUGGGAAACGAUGUGGGAAGGCCCAGACAGCCAGGAUGUUGGCUUAGAAGCAGCCAUCAUUUAAAGAAAGCGUAAUAGCUCACUGGUCGAGUCGGCCUGCGCGGAAGAUGUAACGGGGCUAAACCAUGCACCGAAGCUGCGGCAGCGACACUGUGUGUUGUUGGGUAGGGGAGCGUUCUGUAAGCCUGUGAAGGUGGCCUGUGAGGGUUGCUGGAGGUAUCAGAAGUGCGAAUGCUGACAUAAGUAACGAUAAAGCGGGUGAAAAGCCCGCUCGCCGGAAGACCAAGGGUUCCUGUCCAACGUUAAUCGGGGCAGGGUGAGUCGACCCCUAAGGCGAGGCCGAAAGGCGUAGUCGAUGGGAAACGGGUUAAUAUUCCCGUACUUGGUGUUACUGCGAAGGGGGGACGGAGAAGGCUAUGUUGGCCGGGCGACGGUUGUCCCGGUUUAAGCGUGUAGGUGUGUGUUCCAGGUAAAUCCGGUUCACUUUAACACUGAGGCGUGAUGACGAGGCACUACGGUGCUGAAGCAACAAAUGCCCUGCUUCCAGGAAAAGCCUCUAAGCAUCAGGUAACAUCAAAUCGUACCCCAAACCGACACAGGUGGUCAGGUAGAGAAUACCAAGGCGCUUGAGAGAACUCGGGUGAAGGAACUAGGCAAAAUGGUGCCGUAACUUCGGGAGAAGGCACGCUGACACGUAGGUGAAGUGAUUUACUCAUGGAGCUGAAGUCAGUCGAAGAUACCAGCUGGCUGCAACUGUUUAUUAAAAACACAGCACUGUGCAAACACGAAAGUGGACGUAUACGGUGUGACGCCUGCCCGGUGCCGGAAGGUUAAUUGAUGGGGUCAGCGCAAGCGAAGCUCCUGAUCGAAGCCCCGGUAAACGGCGGCCGUAACUAUAACGGUCCUAAGGUAGCGAAAUUCCUUGUCGGGUAAGUUCCGACCUGCACGAAUGGCGUAAUGAUGGCCAGGCUGUCUCCACCCGAGACUCAGUGAAAUUGAACUCGCUGUGAAGAUGCAGUGUACCCGCGGCAAGACGGAAAGACCCCGUGAACCUUUACUAUAGCUUGACACUGAACAUUGAGCCUUGAUGUGUAGGAUAGGUGGGAGGCUUUGAAGUGUGGACGCCAGUCUGCAUGGAGCCGACCUUGAAAUACCACCCUUUAAUGUUUGAUGUUCUAACGUGGACCCGUAAUCCGGGUUGCGGACAGUGUCUGGUGGGUAGUUUGACUGGGGCGGUCUCCUCCUAAAGAGUAACGGAGGAGCACGAAGGUUGGCUAAUCCUGGUCGGACAUCAGGAGGUUAGUGCAAUGGCAUAAGCCAGCUUGACUGCGAGCGUGACGGCGCGAGCAGGUGCGAAAGCAGGUCAUAGUGAUCCGGUGGUUCUGAAUGGAAGGGCCAUCGCUCAACGGAUAAAAGGUACUCCGGGGAUAACAGGCUGAUACCGCCCAAGAGUUCAUAUCGACGGCGGUGUUUGGCACCUCGAUGUCGGCUCAUCACAUCCUGGGGCUGAAGUAGGUCCCAAGGGUAUGGCUGUUCGCCAUUUAAAGUGGUACGCGAGCUGGGUUUAGAACGUCGUGAGACAGUUCGGUCCCUAUCUGCCGUGGGCGCUGGAGAACUGAGGGGGGCUGCUCCUAGUACGAGAGGACCGGAGUGGACGCAUCACUGGUGUUCGGGUUGUCAUGCCAAUGGCACUGCCCGGUAGCUAAAUGCGGAAGAGAUAAGUGCUGAAAGCAUCUAAGCACGAAACUUGCCCCGAGAUGAGUUCUCCCUGAGACUUAGAGUCUCCUGAAGGAACGUUGAAGACGACGACGUUGAUAGGCCGGGUGUGUAAGCGCAGCGAUGCGUUGAGCUAACCGGUACUAAUGAACCGUGAGGCUUAACCUU
rnacentral:rRNA from 1 species